UACGAAGGGGGCUAGCGUUGCUCGGAAUCACUGGGCGUAAAGCGCACGUAGGCGGAUUCUUAAGUCAGGGGUGAAAUCCUGGAGCUCAACUCCAGAACUGCCUUUGAUACUGGGAGUCUCAAGUCCGGGAGAGGUGAGUGGAACUGCGAGUGUAGAGGUGAAAUUCGUAGAUAUUCGGAAGAACACCAGUGGCGAAGGCGGCUCACUGGUCCGGUACUGACGCUGAUGUGCGAAAGCGUGGGGAGCAAACAGG
rnacentral:rRNA from 1 species